CUGCUGAAAGACUUCUUGAAAUGUAAGGCAGAUGCCCAUGAGGACUUCAGUGAGAAGCUUGUCAAACUUUAUCUUACAAUGGGUAGCAUUUGUCUAGCAGACAGAAGGAUACAAGAAGCUUAUCAGCUGUUCAGCAAGUCCUUACAGAUUCAAAUGGUUGUGGACUGUCCUCAGCAUAUGAAAGCCAAAGAGAUGCCCAGACUUCUCAGCAUGUUGGAGAGGUUUCCCAUUGUCUGCAAGAGGAACAGACUUGUCAAGUAGAAGAGAGAAAAAGUACUGAAGGUACUGCUGUCACUGUUCUGCAUCUCAUGCAAAGUGUGGUAGGAAAGUGGAUCUAAUGCAGUGGUGGUGUUUUGCAGAAUUUAAGCAAAUUAUCAAGUCAAAAAGAUGUGCAACAGCCUUCCACUCAUUCUGUUCUUAACAUGCACCCCUUUGCCCUUUUAACUUUAUUUGAAGACAGAGAUGUAAUAUAACCCACCACAGUAACACAAACUGCAUGCAUUUUUAACAUUUAGCACAGUUUAGAACGAGACAGUAAUCUCUUAGAAAAGCAUGUCUCUAUACUUAUACUAGUGAACUUCUAAGGAUGUUCCAUUGCUAUUUUCAUGAAUAAAGCAUAAUCCUCCCAAAAGGGGGAAAUAUGAUUCCUUUUCCCCAUAAGUCUACCCUGACCUUUAUUAUUAUUAUUAUUUUAAACACACACUGAAAAAAGCCCAGCUACACGACCUGAAGUUUAGCCAGCUCUCAGUUUCAGUUCAGACAACUGGAGGCAGUCUUUCCAUCAUUAAACUUCAGUUUUCACUAUGAAAAACCUUGGUUUAGCAAAUGCAACUUUUCACAACUUUUCACAACAUUUUGAUGUCCGUAUCUGUGAAGUUAACACUUCAGAAAGGUAACACAUUCAUGAACAUCUGUGUGACUUCUGGAAACUCAAAUCCCAUUUUCAAAAAUUACUUGGAUAUCUCAGAAACAGGUCUUUAAGCAUCUACGUCCCGUUAUUAGGGCACCAUGUAAGAGGAUGUGUGCAUAUGUCAAACACUGAUCUUCUCCCUCCUUGAUCAGUACCUCUGGUAGAAGUAGUCUUUAACUUGCAUCCCUCCAGGAGCACCCCCAUACAGCGUUCAUGCAGAAUCACCUGUGUACUCCAAGUCCAUUCCUUCACUCACUGCACAGUAACUUUUUGCAGCCAAGGCUUUCUGUGUUCUUACCCACCUAUAACUACAUUCACAAAGGUAAUCAUUGACAAUUACCUACAUUUGUGAGUCUAGGCCUCUGUUUGGUCCUGCCAUGCACAAACAUAAGUACGUCUUGCACAAAUCUUGCAUGUCUACAAUAAUUCUUAUUUGUGAAAUCGAAGCGUUACUCUUACCGGAACUGUGAAGACUGUACAAACUACUUGAGAUAUUCUUUCCAUAAUCACUGUUGGUAGAUUAUAGAAGAAAUUGUUAAAAACACCAUUUUAAGAAUUAAUAUAGUACAUCUGAAGCCAAUUAUGUAAAAGCACAAAUGCUAAACCACAGCAAUGUCCUUGAAUAAAAUACAAGGUAACUUCAGUACUCUAAAAUAAGUCACAUCGAGAAAGUAAUGUGUUCAGUUUCAUUUUUAUCUCAUCAUCCAGAGAAGUAGUAAAUAACUCUUAACACUCAAUAGUCAAAGAUAAUAAUUCUUAAUGAGACAGUAACAUUAAUGUUUUUCACUGAACAAAUUGAGAUGGUAAGCC